GACGAACGCUGGCGGCGUGCUUAACACAUGCAAGUCGAACGAAGAGCGAUGGAAGCUUGCUUCUAUCAAUCUUAGUGGCGAACGGGUGAGUAACGCGUAAUCAACCUGCCCUUCAGAGGGGGACAACAGUUGGAAACGACUGCUAAUACCGCAUACGAUCUAAUCUCGGCAUCGAGGAUAGAUGAAAGGUGGCCUCUACAUGUAAGCUAUCACUGAAGGAGGGGAUUGCGUCUGAUUAGCUAGUUGGAGGGGUAACGGCCCACCAAGGCGAUGAUCAGUAGCCGGUCUGAGAGGAUGAACGGCCACAUUGGGACUGAGACACGGCCCAGACUCCUACGGGAGGCAGCAGUGGGGAAUCUUCCGCAAUGGACGAAAGUCUGACGGAGCAACGCCGCGUGAGUGAUGACGGCCUUCGGGUUGUAAAGCUCUGUUAAUCGGGACGAAAGGCCUUCUUGCGAAUAGUGAGAAGGAUUGACGGUACCGGAAUAGAAACCACGCUAACUAAC
rnacentral:rRNA from 1 species